GUAGUGACAUGAUCUUGGCUCACUGCAACCUCCAUCUCCCGGAUUCAAGCGAUUCUCCUGCCUCAGCCUCCCAAAUAGCUGCAAUUACAGCCGCGCGCCACCACGCCCAGCUAAUCACACUCCACACCUCUGACUGGGACACAAGUUCCUUCAUUCUCAGGCCACUGCUGACAGCCUUGGCCUCUUCAUGCAUUUACGCGUCACCCCUUCAGCCCUCUCACACCUCAGAUUCAGAACGGUUUACAUGUGGAUCUACCAAUGGCUUCCCAUUAUCUUAAGUAAAAUCCCGGGCUCUAUCCCCACUGUCCUUGUACCCGUCUUGGGAGUCUCCUCUGCUCU
rnacentral:lncRNA from 1 species